rnacentral:lncRNA from 1 species
CAAAAGAAGGGGACACAAAGAGCAACUCCCUACCAUAAUGAAUGGGAUGAGGAACACCACUAGUGUCAAAGUUUAUAUCCAAGUCUGAAUUAAACCUCGCUACCAGCUUCUCUCACCCGAACUACUCCUCGACCAUUGCAUCAAGCACAAGGUUCUUGAACCCCUCAGAACCCUUGUACUCCUCGACGGCCUUGGCACGAGCCGCAGCUAGCUCCUCC